GUCCCGCAGGGAGGUGGGGGUCGCCCGGCCCGGCCGGUCAGGCUUCAGUCGCACGGUUAUUUAUGGGGAGGGGGUUGCCUCCGUCCACUCAUCCUUCCCUCCCUCCGUCCCUCUGGCGGCGCGGGGAACGGUGGCGCCGAGCCCAGUGGCAAGGUGGCGGGUGGGCACAGGCCCUGGGUUGGGGAGGGGGCGCCGGGCGGCGCCGGCUCGGCCUGGUUAACUGGAAAACGAUGGAGACGCGCCCCGCCUCCGCCCCCGCCCCCGCCGCAUAAUUGUUUUCGCUCGCCCGUCCCCAUCUGUCCCUCUCCGCCCGUGUGUGUUUUGGCCUUUGUCUCGCUGCCCUGUACUGACACCCUCUUUCAAAGACCACUUCUGUCGCCCUUCACCGAUCUCUUCUGCCCCAUUAACCCAUCGGCACGAGGCUCAGGCAACAAAGCCCCGAAACGGGACCGGUGCGCAAGCCUCUCCAUUGUGCGUCGCUGACCCCGCGGCCGCGGCCUGCGCAGCCCGGCCCCGCAGCCCGACGGGGCGGGACGGAAUUGGCCUUGAAGAUAAACAGAGGAGGCCGUCGUGUCCGAGCCGAUUCCGCCCUAAGUAAACAGGGGAACAGGGCCCACGCUACCCUUGGCAGGGCCGCAGAGCAGCUGCCACAGCAGGAACGGCCGCCCGCCCGCGCAGAGGGUGACUGUCUGCUGUGGUGCUCUGUAAAGCUGCUGGCAUCCAACAGAACAGAACCAAGGCCUCCCGCACGGCCCAUCCCUGGCCGUCAGGGGCUGCUUGUCCUUCCUUCACCUCCCAGGAAAGAAUGCACUUCUGGACUCAGGGUCUCCCAAAUUUCAAAUUUCAGUUACUCAAGCCUUGGGUUUCAUAUCCACACACCACUGUUUAAUUUAUAUUUCUCUGUGAAUCUACUCGAAAUAGAAUCACUGUUUAAUUCAAAGUCACCCUAAGAUUAAAUCCAU
rnacentral:lncRNA from 1 species